AAUGCUUUUUGGUUGACAAGUGGACUUUAACUAACCCAGCCCAAGAGCAUUAAUUAAGAGCGUUGGACACAGUUAAUAAAUUAGAAUUGAUUUAACCAUUUAAUUUUGCUGUAAAACCAACAAAGGUCAAUAUUUAUCGGCUGAAUGAGUUUACUUUCUUUUCAGUGCGGAAAUAUUUUUAAAUAUAUUAAAAGGGUUUUCAAUUUUAGCGCUCAUUAUAUUGAACUUAUUAUAAAAAGGGUUUCCAUGUUCACACAACACGGUUAGUGAUAUGUUUUGGUGUUUGUUUGAAAGGGAAAAGUUAAUGACCUUUUGUUGUGUUAAUUAUCCAUUUGGCUCAACUUUAUUAAUCCAAUUCAUCUGAGCCAGCUGUAAACUGGUGCUAGCUGAUCUGUCAACUUGCAUGGCAAACCUGAAAAUGAUUCAUCGUCGGACAAUCAAUAAGGCUAUUUUGGAUUAAACCUGUUUUUAACCCAAAUUAUUAAAAUAGCAAUGAUUUGAGCCACUCUCUUAAUCAACCUACCCCAAGAUAAUUCUUAAGGUUCUACAUGAUAAUUCAUUAUCUUAUUACACUCAAUUUACUGUUGAUUGUCCUUUUCUUCAAUAUCAAGGUAAUUUUUCACAAUCAACAGCAAAAACAUAUAUUGAAUGUGAUGAUUGGCAGAUUCUUGAUUCUUUAAUUCAAACAAUCCUUGGCCAUACUCAUGCGAAUCACCUUAAAUGAUGAAACGAUGACAUUUUUUUUGUCAAACAAAAAUCAGAACAAUCCGGUUUAAAUGUUCAACUAUGAAAUCAAGUAUCAUCAUUAUUAGAGGUAAAAGGUGCUCAAAAAACUAUUGUAUUAUUUGACUCGGGCGAGUGACUUUUGCAAAUCUAAUCUUACAUUCACUAUCAUCUUGGCAAAGGCCAACAAUUUGGAAGACUACAAUUAACGCAAGUUUUUACUUUUCGCACUAAUCCUGAUAUUAAAUCACAACUUAAAUUGA